CCAGACACCCAGACAUGAGAGGAAGCAAGAGAAGAGCCAUCGCCUCCAUGGAUUUGCAGGCACUGCGUAAAUAUCGCAGACAUGAACUGCUUGCCAGCCUCCGAAAAAUCACAGGCUCACUGGACGAGAAAGACAAUGUUUCCAAGGCAAAACCUGCCAUUGGAACAACUCGGAGCAGCAACCCAGGUAGCUGCACCUCCAGACACCCAGACAUGAGAGGAAGCAAGAGAAGAGCCAUCGCCUCCAUGGAUUUGCAGGCACUGCGUAAAUAUCGCAGACAUGAACUGCUUGCCAGCCUCCGAAAAAUCACAGGCUCACUGGACGAGAAAGACAAUGUUUCCAAGGCAAAACCUGCCAUUGGAACAACUCGGAGCAGCAACCCAGGUAGCUGCACCUCCAGACACCCAGACAUGAGAGGAAGCAAGAGAAGAGCCAUCGCCUCCAUGGAUUUGCAGGCACUGCGUAAAUAUCGCAGACAUGAACUGCUUGCCAGCCUCCGAAAAAUCACA